UAAUUUUAGAGAUGGAGGAAUAAACUAGCUGAUUCAAAUUUUAUAUUCUUUUACCUAACUUCUAUAAUUUUUCCAGUGCCGCGGUUUAUUUUUCGGUAAGGCCAACUAGAAGCUUGAAUUGGUUAUAAGAGUAUUUUAACAGGUUUAUCACAUGCAAAGGCUUAAAAAAUAGUUCACUACUUUCUAAGUACACCAGACCUUUCUUUAGGGCAACAGUUGUUUCUUCUUUCUCUUUCCUUCCUAAUUGUUUAAGAUUUUAGCCUAUUUUUUCCUGCUUUGUGAAUUUUAAGUAGGACCUCAACAAAUUUAAGAACUCCAGCUAGUCAUUAAUCGGUUGAUAGUCUUGCCUAUCUUUAUUCAUUAGUGAGUCUGCUUUUUCUUCUGCACAUUUGUUAAAGUCCAUUUGAUCAUUGAGCCUGUUUUUAACAUGGUUUCCUUAUGGUUUUGCUUUCCUAAUCCGAUUUUAAAGGUCUUCAUGUUAUUUGAGAGUUGCUGAAAACCAUGCUGCUCUUUCCUUGAUGGUUUGGUAGUGAGCAUGGAUGAGCACAGCCUGCUGAACCCUGAGUUCUAAUCUUACGCCUGUAGCUAAGGAAUUGGGGAUGAUUUGGACAAGUCAGUCAAUCUUCUUUGUCUCCAGCUGCUCAAGUGUCAACUGUGGAUAAUAUGACCUGUCUCAAAACCAUGUCAUGCGAUGAAGACGCCAAGGCAAUGACACCUGACAGUCAUAUAGCUGAUAAGGAACAGCGCCAGGACCCAGAGCCAGGCAGUGUGACUGAGCAAGAGUCUGUGCUUUUAACGACUAGGUUUUGCUAGCCCAAAGCACAUACUUGAUACACGUUGCUGAGAAGCAUGAGGCACUACAAUUGGACUUGAUGAAGGGAAAUAAAUAUCAUACAGAGAGUUGUUCAGGACAUUGCGAGAAUCAUGCCACUGAAUGCUGGUGGGGCAGCCUCUGACUGGGGAGGGGUGACCACAGAUGGGAGAGAUACAUUAUGGUAUCUCAAAGGUGAAAAACAAUGUGCAGAUGCUUAUUUGGCAAAAAAAAAAAAAGUAGUGCUAUAUGGCUUCCAUUGUCAUCCUUUGAAAUUUUAAAUAAAAGAAUCAAAUUUAAUGGUCAACUUUUUUUGUUUUGACAAUUCCAUUUCCUUAGGGAAUAAAUAAAAUUAUUUUAUUAAGUAGCUUUUAAAAACUGAAUUUCAUUAAAGUUUACACAUUAAAAAUUAAGGUGAAGAACAACAUAAAACUUGCAAUGGCUUACAAUAACAUGCAGGCUGUCUUGUCAAAUUCCCAUUGACUUCAGGUCUAUGCUUUUUAAAACACAUUGACAAUGCUAUUUUGGUAUUCUGUAACCAUACUGUGAACUACAUAGGAAAUCCAGUCAACAAUUCAGCUUCAAGACAAUCUAAAUUUUUUAGUAGGGAAAAACUGCAAAGUGACGGGGGUGAACAACUAUAAAUUACAAGCAGCCAAGUUAGGUUUUGUCAAACAAUUCAACAAAAUCAUUCCUAAGACUACUGGGAUUACAUUGAUGAGGAAAAACAGCAUGAGACAUUUGAUUUUCAAAGACAUUUAAACAAAGAAAAUAAGUUUAUUAAAUGUUAAUUAACCAUACAACAUUCAAAUUUUAGAUGUCCUUUAUGCCUUAGUUCAAAUUUAGUGAAAGUGAGAUUGGUGCAAUAUUCCUGAAAUAUAUACAUUGACUAUAAGACAUUUAAGGUGAAAUAAUAAGCUUUUCUAAUUUUAUUUGUUCAUUGCUUACUUAAUGGUCAUAAAUGAGACUAGUAUGCUUACAAGUUGUCUUUUAAAAUUAUUUAAAAAUUCAUCAUUUUUUGGUUUAUUUUGGGGCUGACAAAUGUCUUAUUUACACAACUAUUUCAAAUAUAGAAAAGUAACAUUUAAACAAUAUACAAGAGUUUCUAUAAAAAAUCAGAGAUGUUUUCCAACACAACAGGAAACAACCACUGUACCACUCUAGGAGCUACAGUAACUUGCUUUUUCCUCCCCUUUUGAUCACUCCAUAAUAUAUUUUUAUUUAGUUUCUGUCCCCAAUAUGCUUAGGAACUGAUCUCCCCAAGGUUAACAGUGACCUCACCAAAUAUAUUAUAUACUUUUCAGCCCAGAUCUGUACUAAACUCUCUUCAGCAUUUAAGACUACUAACCACCUCCAGUUUCUUGAACCCCUCUUCUAACUGAGCUUUGGAGAUACCACUUACUUUUCCUCUUUUUUUUUUUUUUUUUGGUGUUCUUUUUCUACCUCUGUCAAUUUCUCACAUGUUGAUGCUCCCAGAGUCCACUCACAGUCCUCUUUUAGUCUCAUUUCACAUGCAUUCACUAGACAUCAUAUUCGCAAUGACUGUAAAUAAUAUCUAUUAAUACAUGCAGAAAAUCUCGAAAGUGUAUACCUCUAAACUGCAUCUUUUUCCUAAGUGCAAGAAUUGCAUAUACGACUACCCGUUAGCACUUAAUUUCCAUUUGUCCAAAACCAAACUUAAAUUUCUCCACUCUAAAUUUGCUUAUUUAUCCACACUAUAUAUGCUUUUGUUUCACUCUUUUGUCCCAGAUCAGAAAACUAGGAAUACCUAUCUUUGUCGCCCACAUCCAGUGAUUAACCAAGUACUUGGCUGAGCAUUGAAAUUACCUAGAGAGUUAAAAAAUAAUAAUAAUUCCAAGGAUUCUGUGUUACCUUGUAUGGAGUGAGGUGCAGGCAUCAGAGUUUUUCAAGUCUCUCUAGGUGGUCCUAAAGUACAGGGAAGUUUGAGAAGUACUGCUCUAGUUUAUUUUCCAAAUAUCUCCAGGUUCCUCAUUGUGACUACAUUAAGAUCCUCACCAUUUCUUCCCUGGAUUACUGCAGAAGAUUCCUUAUUAGUUGCCCCAUAUCUGAUUUCAGCCAAUACUAUCUGCCAAAGUAUUCUAAAGAGACAAACCUCCUCAUAUCACACUUUGGCUUCAAAUCCAAUUUCAGGAUAAAAUAAUAGGCUAUACAAGACCAUAGUGCAACUUUUGCUUUGACCACACUGAAUUGCUUUGCUUUCUGAGUGUAAUUUGCAUGCUGAAUUCUCUUGAUCAUAUGUCUGUUUCUUUUGUCUAAAUGUAUAAGGAAUGGUCAAAGCACAUGGCAUAAUAAAGGAAACAUGAAAAUUGAUACAAAAAAAAUAAUACUAACUAAGAUAAAAUGAGAGCAAAAGAAAGGGUAAUCAUUUGUAACUGUGUGAAUCAGGGAAGGCACCAUACAACAGGAACACUUGGCCAAUUAUGAAAUCACCCAUGGACAUUUAGAGGUAUACCUCGAAGAUAUUGCAGGUUUGAUUCCAGAUGACAGCACUAAAACUAAUAUCACAAUAAAGCAAGUCACACAAAUAUUUUGGUUUCCCAGUGCAUAAAAGUUAUGUUUUCACUACAAUCAACUGAGCCUUUGGUGAAUCAUAAUCUUUUUGCUAAAGGAAUGUCUUGUCUUGAUGGUGAUAGCUGCUGAUUGAUCAGGCUGGUUAUUACUGAAAGCUGUAGCAUUUUCUUUCUCACUCUUUUUUUUCCUUCUUUUUUUUUUCUAGAUAGGGUCUUGCUCCGUCACCUAUGCUGGAGGGCAGUGGUGGGAUUAUAGCUUACCGUGGCAUCGAAUUCCUGGGUGCUGUAGCAAUUUCUUAAAAUAAGACAAUAAAGUUUGCUAGAUUGAUUGACUCCUCCUUUCACAAGAGAUUUCUCUGUAGCAUGUGAUGCUGUUUCAUAGCAUUUUAUCCACAGUAGAACUUCUUUCAAUCCUCUUAAAUCUCUAAAACUCAGUUACUGCUUUAUCAAAUAGGUUUAUGGAAUAUUCUAAAUCUUUUGUUUUUAUUUCAACAACGUUCACAGCAUCUUCACCAGGAGUAGAUUUCAU
rnacentral:lncRNA from 1 species